AGCGGCGGAUGGGUGAGUAACACGUGGGGAACCUGCCCCUAAGUCUGGGAUACCAUUUGGAAACAGGUGCUAAUACCGGAUAAUAAAGCAGAUCGCAUGAUCAGCUUUUGAAAGGCGGCGUAAGCUGUCGCUAAGGGAUGGCCCCGCGGUGCAUUAGCUAGUUGGUAAGGUAACGGCUUACCAAGGCGACGAUGCAUAGCCGAGUUGAGAGACUGAUCGGCCACAUUGGGACUGAGGCACGGCCCAAACUCCUACGGGAGGCAGCAGUAGGGAAUCUUCCACAAUGGACGCAAGUCUGAUGGAGCAACGCCGCGUGAGUGAAGAGGGUUUUCGGAUCGUAAAGCUCUGUUGUUGGUGAAGAAGGAUAGAGGUAGUAACUGGCCUUUAUUUGACGGUAAUCAACCAGAAAGUCACGGCUAACUACGUGCCAGCAGCCGCGGUAAUACGUAGGUGGCAAGCGUUGUCCGGAUUUAUUGGGCGUAAAGCGAGCGCAGGCGGAAAAAUAAGUCUAAUGUGAAAGCCCUCGGCUUAACCGAGGAACUGCAUCGGAAACUGUUUUUCUUGAGUGCAGAAGAGGAGAGUGGAACUCCAUGUGUAGCGGUGGAAUGCGUAGAUAUAUGGAAGAACACCAGUGGCGAACGCGGCUCUCUGGUCUGCAACUGACGCUGAGGCUCGAAAGCAUGGGUAGCGAACAGGAUUAGAUACCCUGGUAGCCCAUGCCGUAAACGAUGAGUGCUAAGUGU
rnacentral:rRNA from 1 species